rnacentral:rRNA from 1 species
UACGUAGGGUGCAAGCGUUGUCCGGAAUUAUUGGGCGUAAAGAGCUCGUAGGCGGUUUGUCGCGUCGGCUGUGAAAUCCCGAGGCUCAACCUCGGGCCUGCAGUCGAUACAGGCAAACUAGAGUGUUGCAGGGGAGACUGGAAUUCCUGGUGUAGCGGUGAAAUGCGCAGAUAUCAGGAGGAACACCGGUGGCGAAGGCGGGUCUCUGGGCAACAACUGACGCUGAGGAGCGAAAGCGUGGGGGAGCGAACAGG